CCUCUUUCUCCCUUUCAUUAUAACAGCAGUGUUCUAUCUCAGCUAUAGAGUCUCUGUUUUCUCUUAAAGCACACUGAGUAUUGAAUGUAGCAUCUGUCUGUCUGUCUGUCAUGCUGUAGACAGCGCAAGAGAUGAUGCUACUACAGUCUGCCAGAUUCAUUGACUGUAAGAGGAACAAUCCCACCGCCGAGACUGGACUCGUGCCAUGCUGUGUUGGGUGGCACCCAUGUGCCCUCGUCUGCUGACUCCUACACUUCCAUUCUCCUGCAUCGGCCUCCUGAAGAAGACGAGCGGAUGAAAGAUUCAUGAAGGAGGUGAAUGUUGGGGUGCAACGAAACGAGUCACAGCUCCAAACACUCCCCUCUCUUUCACCUGUGGCCCACCAGACGGCAGAACCGGUGUGUGAGCACAGACAGGUACCGCAUGUGUGUGUGUGUGUGUGCAGACGGGUCCCGCAGGGCGAGGCUCUACAGCUGUAGACAGACACUGAAUUUGCUGCAUCUGCUGUCCUCACAUCUGCAGACUGGGCCGAAGACACAUGCUCUGUCUGUAUCUGUCUGUCUCACUGUGUGUGAAUGCACACUUCUGACUGCAGUUUAAGAACAACAAUGCAAGAGACAUUAAAGCAAUAAACCCCAAGAAGCUGUGGUUUACAGUGAAUUUAUAACAGCUAAGGGGCAUUGUAAGGCACGAAACACAGAAGUGGAGUAAAUUCACUGUAAACCACAGCUUCACACUGCUUAUUGCUUUUAUAAAACGGUUAUUCCAUAUACAUAGUAAGGUUUCACAGAAUAAAACAGAGCAAAUAAUGUGUAAUUAUAUAAAUUAAAACAGUAUUACAGACACUUUUAUCCAAAGGGACUUACAAAUGAGGACAAUGGAAGCAAUCAAAAUCAACAAAAGAGCAAUGAUAUGUAAGUGCUACAACAAGUCUCAGUUAGCUUAAACGCAGUACACGUAGCAAGGACUUUUAAAUAAUAUAAUAAAUAAAAAGAAAACAGAUAGAAUAGAAAAAGAAUAGAGCAAGCUAGUGUUAGAGGUCUUUUUUUUGCUUUUGUUAGUUGUAUAAUGAAUGAAAAGAAAAUAGAUAGAAUAAAAAAAUAUUAAA